GUAAUUGAAUCCAUUUUGCCUAAGACUCAGGUGAUGCUUGCAUCUUAAUAUCCUGCCGAGGAAGUUUAAAAAAACUUUUCCCGUGUGUCUUCUAGCGCACGGGAUUUCUUUUGCAAAAU
rnacentral:sRNA from 1 species